GCGGCUGCAGCUCGGUGGAGGGGAAGGGCAGAGCGGCCCCCAUGGCGACACCCCUCUCCCACCCCCAGCGGCGCCCUCCCCUCCUCCGCCAGGCCAUCAAGAUAAGGCGCCGCAGGGUCAGAGAUCUGCAGGAUCCCCUGGCCCAAACCGCUCAGGAGCUCGAGCCUCCAUCCCACCACCUCUCCCCUGAGGAGCGGGCCCUGCUCUACGAGGAAGCUCUCUACACUGUCCUGCACCGCCUGGGUCAGCCUGAGCCCAGCCAUGUGCGGGAGGCCUCUGAGCUGCUGCAGUACCUGCAGGAGGCCUUCCACAUGGAGCCCGAGGAGCACCAGCAGAUGCUGCAGCAGGUCCAGAAGCUUGAGAAGCCAGUAUUUUGUCUGAAGGCAACUGUGAAACAAGCUAAGGGCAUUCUGGGCAAAGAUGUCAGCGGAUUCAGUGACCCCUACUGCUUGCUGGGCAUCGAGCAGGGGGUGGGCGUGCAGGGGGGCAGCCCUGGGUCCCGCCAUCGGCAGAAGGCCGUGGUGAAGCACACCAUCCCGGAGGAGCACACCCACCGCACCCAGGUCAUCGCCCAGACACUCAAUCCAGUCUGGGAGGAGACCUUCAUCCUGGAGUUUGAGGACAUAAGCAACUCGAGCUUCCAUCUGGACAUGUGGGAUAUGGAUACCGUGGAGUCUGUCAGGCAGAAGCUCGGGGAGCUCACAGAUCUGCACGGGCUGCGAAGGAUCUUUAAGGAGGCACGGAAGGACAAAGGCCAGGACGAUUUUCUGGGGAACGUGGUUGUGAGGCUACAGGACCUGCGCUGCCGGGAGGAUCAGUGGUACCCUCUGGAGCCCUGCACCGAGACCUACCCAGACCGCGGUCAGUGCCACCUCCAGUUCCAGCUCAUUCACAAGCGGAGAGCCCCGGCAGCCAGCCGCUCCCAGCCCAGCUAUACGGUGCACCUCCACCUGCUCCAGCAGCUGGUGUCCCAUGAGGUCACCCGGCACCAGGCAGGCAGUACCUCCUGGGACGGGUCGCUGAGUCCCCAGGCUGCCACCAUCCUCUUUCUCCAUGCCACGCAGAAGGACCUAUCUGACUUCCACCAGUCCUUGGCGCAGUGGCUGGCUUAUAGCCGCCUCUACCAGAGCCUGGAGUUCCCGAGCAGCUGCCUCCUGCACCCCAUCACCAGCAUCGAGUACCAGUGGAUCCAGGGCCGGCUCAAGGGGGAACAGCUGGAGGAGCUGACCGCCUCGUUCAGCAAGCUGCUGGCCUACGGCCUCUCACUCCUCCGCAAGUUCCGGUCGGUUUUCCCCCUCUCUGUGCCCGACUCCCCGGCCCGGCUGCAGUCUCUGCUCAGGGUCCUGGUACAGAUGUGCAAGAUGAAGGCCUUCAGAGAGCUGUGCCCUGACAGCGCCCCACUGCCCCGCCUGGUGACCGAGACGCUGAGGACUGGCACGGUCGAGUGGUUCCACCUGAAGCAACAGCACCAUCAGCCCAUGGUGCAGGGCAUGCUGGAGGCGGGCAAAGCCCUGCUGAGCCUGGUACAGGACAUCAUAGGUGACCUACACCAGUGCCAGCACACGUGGAACAAGAUCUUCCAGAACACCCUCAAGGUCGACCUCUUCUCCAUGGCUUUCCUGGAGCUGCAAUGGCUGGUGGCCAAGCGGGUGCAGGACCACACGGCGGUGGUGGCAGGCAGCCCCGUGUCCCCAGAGAUGGGCGAGAGUCUAUUCCAGCUCUAUGUCAGCCUCAAGGAGCUCUGCCAGCUGGGCCCGGGCCCUGCAGAGAGAGAUGGAGUCCUGGCCCUGGAUGGCUUUCACCGCUGGUUCCGGCCCGCCAUCCCCUCCUGGCUGCAGAAGACUUACAGUGUGGCCCUGGCGCGGGUGCAGCGCGCUGUGCAGAUGGACGAGCUGGUGCCCCUGAGUGAACUGACCAAGCAUAGCACAUCAGCUGUGGAUCUGUCCACCUGCUUCGCCCAGAUCAGCCAUACUGCCCGGCAGCUGGACUGGCCGGACCCAGAGGAGGCCUUCAUGAUCACCGUCAAGUUUGUGGAGGACACCUGUCGGCUGGCUCUGGUAUACUGCAGCCUUAUAAAGGCCCGGGCCCGUGAGCUCUCUGCAGGCCAGAAGGACCAGGGCCAGGCAGCCAACAUGCUGUGCGUGGUGGUGAAUGACAUGGAGCAGCUGCGGCUGGUGAUCGGCAAGCUGCCCACUCAGCUGGCCUGGGAGGCUCUGGAACAGCGAGUAGGGGCCGUGCUGGAGCAGGGCCAGCUGCAGAACACGCUGCACGCCCAACUGCAGGGUGCGCUGGCUGGGCUGGGCCAUGAGAUCCGCACAGGCGUCCGCACCCUGGCCGAGCAGCUGGAGGUGGGCAUUGCCAAGCACAUCCAGAAACUCGUGGGCGUCAAGGAGUCUGUCCUGCCUGAGGAUGCCAUUCUGCCCCUGAUGAAGUUUCUGGAGGUGAAGCUCUGCUACCUGAAUACCAACUUGGUGCAGGAGAACUUCAGCAGAAUCUGGAGAUCUGCUUCUACGCAGAGGGCUGUGGCCUACCACCCGCAGCGCUGCACACAGACACCUUCCAGGCUCUGCAGAGGGACCUGGAGCUGCAGGCCGCUUCCAGCCGGGAGCUCAUCCAGAAGUACUUCUGCAGCCGCAUCCAGCAGCAGGCGGAAACUGCCUCUGAGGAGCUGGGGGCUGUCACAGUCAAGGCUUCCUACCGCACCUCUGAGCAGAAGCUGCGUGUGGAACUGCUCAGCGCCUCCAGCCUGCUGCCCCUGGACUCCAACGGUGACCUCCCCACUUGCCAGGCUCCAGCGAUCCCUUUGUCCAGCUGACCUUGGAGCCCAGGCACGAGUUCCCUGAGCUGGCCCCCCGGGAGACCCAAAAGCACAAGAAGGACCUUCACCCCCUGUUUGAUGAAACCUUUGAAUUCCUGGUGCCUGCUGAGCCAUGCCAGAGGGACGGAGCGUGCCUCCUGCUCACAGUGCUGGACCACGACACGCUGGGGGCUGACGACUUGGAAGGGGAGGCCUUUCUGCCCCUGCGCUCCGUGCCGGGCCUGACCGGGACCGAGGAGCCUGGCGAGGUGCCUCAGACGCGCCUGCCCCUCACCUACCCUGCACUCAACGGGGAUCCCAUCCUGCAGCUGUUGGAGAGCCGGAAGGGUGACCGGGAGGCCCAGGUGUUUGUGAGGCUGCGGCGGCAGCGAGCCAAGCAGGCCUCCCAGCAUGCCCCAAGGCCAGGGCAGUAGAGUUUUAAGUGCCAGCAGCAGUGGAGGUUAGGGAUGGGGUUGGGUGCCCGGUAGGGACGGGCUUUCCUGAAAGGUCUGGGUUCUCCCCACCAUAGUGCAAGCCCUCCAGCCUGGCCUAAUGCUCCAGAAGGGCCCUGCAAACCUGGGGAACCCCAGCGUGCGGAAGGCCCAGCAUGAAGAUCCCGUCUGGUCCUCCUGCCAGAGCAGGGACCCAUGGUGCUGGUGCCAGGACCCUAUUAGUAUUUAUAUUCCCUUCUUCCUGCCUUCAGCCCUGGCCUCAGCAUUCUCUACCGAAUCUCAGCACCAGGGGGAGGGUGCGGCUGUCUGCGGCUCCCGCCCCUGCUUCCCUCUUCGGGGGAAGCUGCUCUGGCAGAGACCUCUCGGCCACCUGUUUCUGGCACGCCUAUUUCCAGUCACUGGGGUGGAGGUUAGGCUCCCACGGGCCUGUUCUUUAGCACCCCUACCUUGGUUCACUAGGGCCAGGGCUAUGGCACAAAGCCUCCUGGGGGAGGGAGGGAGGGGACCCUGCCAGAGACGAGGCUACAGCUGCCCUGGUGGGGAGGGCGGCAGCUCUAAUGAAGGGAGCCUGGCUCCUCUCCUGAGGUGGCUGCCAGUGCCCAGGCUAAGGAGCCUAGAGCCAAGGAGCUUCUGGCUCGGAAGAGGUGAAAGCUGGCAGGCAGUGGGGCUGGCAUGGAGGGGCAGAAGCAGAAAAGACAGCUUGGCCAGCCGUGUCUACUGAGGAUACCUCCUCCCUGAGACGGUACCUGCCACUUAGGAACUUUCUUAGCAAAAAUAAAAAAAGAAAACAAUUCAUUGUCCUCUAAGGAACUAUACUGUUGGCCUGCACUGGGGCCCAGAAGUUUAUAGUCAGGCCACGCAAACCCUCUCCUCAGCCCUCUGGCAAUGAGACCUUGAGCCGCCCCUGACCUGGGGGGGGGGGGCUGGCCCACCCCUCACUCCCUCACGUUCUAGAGCACGUGUGGGAGUAACUGAUGCACAAGCAGGGCUUCGCACAAAACAUUACUAGGCAUGUCAGUUUGUGGUUGCCGCCUGGCACUCCAAGGGGAGCACUGGGAGUGGGGGGGCGUCUCCCAGGAGUGCAGGCUGAGUGGCUAUUCAAGGGCUUAGAGGAGCAGGGUCCCAGCCUGGCCUGGGGGGAGGUGGCCACUGUAUUGGGGGUCAGAGCCCAAGGCCAGGUUGUCAUUCUAGCUGUGUGACCCUGUUUGAGUCCCUUAACCUCUCAAGUAUGAUGGGAGUCGGAGGUCAGGUGAGAUCACCUCCAAGGCUCCUUUCAGCUCUGAAUCUGAGCCCCAUACAGAGCCUACUAGGUGCGUUUCUCACAGC